rnacentral:rRNA from 1 species
GGAAUAUUGGACAAUGGGCGCAAGCCUGAUCCAGCCAUGCCGCGUGCAGGAUGACGGUCCUAUGGAUUGUAAACUGCUUUUAUACAGGAAGAAACCCUGGUUCGUGAACCAGCUUGACGGUACUGUAAGAAUAAGGAUCGGCUAACUCCGUGCCAGCAGCCGCGGUAAUACGGAGGAUCCAAGCGUUAUCCGGAAUCAUUGGGUUUAAAGGGUCCGUAGGCGGUUUAGUAAGUCAGUGGUGAAAGCCCAUCGCUCAACGGUGGAACGGCCAUUGAUACUGCUAAACUUGAAUUAUUAGGAAGUAACUAGAAUAUGUAGUGUAGCGGUGAAAUGCUUAGAGAUUACAUGGAAUACCAAUUGCGAAGGCAGGUUACUACUAAUGGAUUGACGCUGAUGGACGAAAGCGUGGGUAGCGAACAGGAUUAGAUACCCCAG